GGCACUAGCUGGACUUUGCUACUUCAGAAAACACAAGAGGAGCUACGGUCUGUUAGCUCAAAGACCGUACAUACUCAAACCUCUAUGAGGUCCAGCCACUAACGGCAGACAGAGCACCUUAAGGAGUUACAACUACAUCUACUCACGCUGGGCAGGUAUGUACCUAUUGGACAAUCAGAGGAGCCCACUUCAUUCCUAUGACUCCCAAAUCAGAAUUCAACAUAUAUAUAUAUUUUAUACUAAUACAUUUUAUUAAAGUAUUAAUUAAAUGUUAACUUGUUAACCUAAAACCAUGGGCGGAGACAUUAUGUAACUUUUGACUACUGGCUACUGUGCUAUCUUGUCUUGCUGCUAGACCUCUCCGCGGUUUUGGGACUACCUACGCCAUCACUUUCCCCCGCCCAUGGAAAAGCCAUAGAAUCCACUGUAAUCAAUCGAUUGAUAGUGUGUCUCUUAGCCUAAAAAGCAAGGUGUCACUCCAUCAGCGCUGUACAUAAUAAACUCCUAUGCUUGACUUCUA